CAUUGUCUCUUUACAAUUCCAACAACCCCCAAAGAUAACUAAGAAAUUUCCUUGAGCAACCGCAUCCUGAACUGUUGUCUUGUACUGCAUCUAACACCACAUCCAGCAUUCCAACCGCCAGACUCUGACUUGAAAUUCUUAUCUUAGCUUCCGUACACAACUCCAUGAAUCUAGGAGAUAAUCACGCAACUAAACAUUACUAACAAGCAAUUGAACCAGUCAAAUCUUGGUUGCUAAAAAUUACAUGCGCGUGCCUUAAAACUCACAACAUAACUUUGGGACCAAUGAGUGCAAGCCUUUGAGGUAAUGAUUGUUUGUGUUCAUGACACCUUAUAAACAAUCAAGUGGGCUUCGGGUGGCAUCUUGCUUUCCGUUCCAUCAAAACAACGCACACACAAAAUCAAGUGGGUGACAUAGUCAAAACUCAUUAGACAACAUCGCAUCGCACUUUACAUAUUAAACCCAUGCAAUGAUCUCCGUGUGGGCAGCCUACACCAAUUUAUAGGAGCAUUCUAGGAAUAAAUGGUCACUCAAUAGUUAGGAUAAUCUCUCUCUCUCUCUCUCUCUCUCUCUCUCUCUCUUAUAUACGGUGCUCAUAUUUAGGCUAGUCAACAGGUUCUUUUAACGCUUUUGUGACAGGCUUCUCAAAUUCUUCUUCAUCCUUAUCAUCAAUUCCUUCAGUUUCUUUUGAGCUUGGAGGAUGACCGAAAGCUUGCAGAUGUG
rnacentral:lncRNA from 1 species